CGGUUACCGAACUCAUCUUCACGUAGUACCAAGACGCUACAAAUGUCGGCACAGUUCUCCGUGAAGUCGGCCCAAGAUGCACGAUCCCCCCUGCGACAGGCGUCGUCCACCCGAGCGUGGCUGACUGCAGGAAGCAGUUUCACCAUCGCCACCUACUUUACAGGGUCUUUCUGGUUUUACCCCAUGUGACGACGAGGCAAAUCGGGGAUCCCAGACUAUCUGGACAAGAAACGUGAAUUAUCUGGGCUUCAAGCAUGAGGAUUCGGACAAAACUUUCCAGGAAUCGCUGCGCA